rnacentral:rRNA from 1 species
UGCAGUCGAGCGAUGAAGCACCUUCGGGUGUGAAUUAGCGGCGAACGGGUGAGGAACACGUGAGAAAUCUGCCUUCAACUCUGGGAUAACUCCGUGAAAACGGGGCUAAUACCGGAUAUGAGAUCUACAGGCAUCUGUGGAUCUGGAAAGUUUUUCGGUUGAAGAUGAUCUCGCGGCCUAUCAGCUUGUUGGUGAGGUAAUGGCUCACCAAGGCGACGACGGGUAGCCGGCCUGAGAGGGCGACCGGCCACACUGGAACUGAGACACGGUCCAGACUCCUACGGGAGGCAGCAGUGGGGAAUAUUGCACAGUGGGCGAAAGCCUGAUGCAGCAACGCCGCGUGAGGGAUGAAGGCCUUCGGGUUGUAAACCUCUUUUAGCAGGGAAGAAGCGAAAGUGACGGUACCUGCAGAAAAAGCACCGGCUAACUACGUGCCAGCAGCCGCGGUAAUACGUAGGGUGCAAGCGUUGUCCGGAAUUAUUGGGCGUAAAGAGCUCGUAGGCGGUUUGUCACGUCUGCUGUGAAAAUCCGAGGCUCAACCUCGGACUUGCAGUGGGUACGGGCAGGCUAGAGUGCGGUAGGGGAGAAGGGAAUUCCUGGUGUAGCGGUGGAAUGCGCAGAUAUCAGGAGGAACACCAAUGGCGAAGGCACUUCUCUGGGCCGUAACUGACGCUGAGGAGCGAAAGCGUGGGGAGCGAACAGGAUUAGAUACCCUGGUAGUCCA